rnacentral:rRNA from 1 species
GAUACCUUAGUACGGCGAGUGAAGCGGUAAAAGCUCAAAUUUGAAAUCUGGUACUUUCAGUGCCCGAGUUGUAAUUUGUAGAAUUUGUCUUUGAUUAGGUCCUUGUCUAUGUUCCUUGGAACAGGACGUCAUAGAGGGUGAGAAUCCCGUUUGGCGAGGAUACCUUUUCUCUGUAAGACUUUUUCGAAGAGUCGAGUUGUUUGGGAAUGCAGCUCAAAGUGGGUGGUAAAUUCCAUCUAAAGCUAAAUAUUGGCGAGAGACCGAUAGCGAACAAGUACAGUGAUGGAAAGAUGAAAAGAACUUUGAAAAGAGAGUGAAAAAGUACGUGAAAUUGUUGAAAGGGAAGGGCAUUUGAUCAGACAUGGUGUUUUUUGCAUGCACUCGCCUCUCGUGGGCUUGGGCCUCUCAAAAAUUUCACUGGGCCAACAUCAAUUCUGGCAGCAGGAUAAAUCAUUAAGAAUGUAGCUACUUCGGUAGUGUUAUAGCUUUUUGGAAUACUGUUAGCCGGGAUUGAGGACUGCGCUUCGGCAAGGAUGUUGGCAUAAUGGUUAAAUGCCGCCCGUCUUGAA